CUACGGGGGGCAGCAGUGGGGAAUAUUGCACAAUGGGCGCAAGCCUGAUGCAGCAACGCCGCGUGGACGAUGAAGGCCUUCGGGUUGUAAAGUUCUUUUCUUAGGGAAGAAUAAAUGACGGUACCUAAGGAAUCAGCCCCGGCUAACUACGUGCCAGCAGCCGCGGUAAUACGUAGGGGGCAAGCGUUAUCCGGAAUCAGUGGGCGUAAAGGGAGUGUAGGCGGUCAAGCAAGUCAGGGGUGAAAGGCAUCGGCUCAACCGAUGUAAGCCUUUGAAACUGUUUGACUUGAGUGCAGGGAGGUAAGUGGAAUUCCUAGUGUAGCGGUGAAAUGCGUAGAUAUUAGGAGGAACACCAGUGGCGAAGGCGACUUACUGGACUGUAACUGACGCUGAGGCUCGAAAGCGUGGGGAGCGAACAGGAUUAGAUACCCCUGUAGUC
rnacentral:rRNA from 1 species